rnacentral:rRNA from 1 species
UACAGAGGGUGCGAGCGUUUAAUCGGAAUUACUGGGCGUAAAAGCGCGCGUAGGCGGCUUUUUCAAGUCGAUUGUGAAAUCCCCGGGCUCAACCUGGGAACUGCAGUCGAGACUGUCUAGCUAGAGUAUGGGGAGAGGGAAGUGGAAUUUCAGGUGUAGCGGUGAAAUGCGUAGAUAUCUGAAGGAACAUCAGUGGCGAAAAGCGGGGCUACUGGGCCGAUACUGACGCUGAUGCGCGAAAGCCAGGGGGAGCAAACAGG